rnacentral:lncRNA from 1 species
AAAGCCCUAGUUCCUUGCCAAAGCAUUUGGUGCGCGAUCUACUCUAAAAAUUACCCCUACUUACUCUCCUGCACUGCCUCCAUUACUCUCUCUCUCUCUCAGUCUGUCGACCCAUUCGCAUCUCACCAUUCUCUCUUCCCGAACCCGCUUUUGGAUCAGAGUUUCGGUUCGGUAUCAAGUAAGCCCGUUACAAUCUCUCUCUCUCUCUUUGAAAUAUUCAUACAUGGCUAGAUCUUCCGUCGCUGAUUGAAAUCUGUAUUAUU